rnacentral:rRNA from 1 species
GACGAACGCUGGCGGCGUGCCUAAUACAUGCAAGUCGAACGCAGUGGGGACGGGUGAGUAACACGUUGGUAACCUCCCAUCAGAGGGGAUAACACUUGGAAACAGGUGCUAAACCUAUACUGAUGGAUGGACCCGCGGUGCAUUAGCUAGUUGGGGAGGUAACGGCUCACCAAGGCCACGAUGCAUAGCCGUCCUGGAGGGGUGAUCGGCCAAAUGGGGACGGAGACACGGCCAGGACUCCUACGGAGGGAGGCAGUAGGGAAUCUUCGGAAAGGGAGGAAAGUCUGACCGAGCAACGCCGCGUGAGGGUAGAAGGUUUUCGGAUCGAAAAACUCUGUUGUUAGAGAAGCGGUAUCUAACCAGAAAGCCACGGCUAACUACGUGCCAGCAGCCGCGGUAAUUC